rnacentral:rRNA from 1 species
CCUACGGGCGGCUGCAGUGAGGAAUAUUGGUCAAUGGCCGGAAGGCUGAACCAGCCAUGCCGCGUGAAGGUCAGUGCCCUAUGGGCGUUAAACUUCUUUUGUGCGGGAGCAAUACUGGUCACGUGUGGCCAGACUAGAGUACCGUACGAAUAAGCAUCGGCUAACUCCGUGCCAGCAGCCGCGGUAAUACGGGGGAUGCAAGCGUUAUCCGGGUUUAUUGGGUGUAAAGGGGGCGUAGGCUGUGAGGUAAGUCAGCGGGGAAAUGCCCCCGCUCAACGGGGUGAAGUGCCAUUGAUACUGCCGUGCUGGAAUGCGGAUGCCGUGGGAGGAAGGUGUGGUGUAGCGGUGAAAUGCAUAGAUAUCACACAGAACACCGAUUGCGAAGGCAUCUCACGAAUCCGCGAUUGACGCUGAUGCACGAAAGCGUGGGUAUCAAACAGGAUUAGAUACCCUGGUAGUC